AUUGAACGCUGGCGGCAGGCCUAACACAUGCAAGUCGAACGGUAACAGGAAACAGCUUGCUGUUUCGCUGACGAGUGGCGGACGGGUGUGUAAUGUCUGGGAAACUGCUUGAUGGAGGGGGAUAAUUACUGGAAACGGUAGCUAAUACCGCAAAACUUCGCAAGAGCAAAGAGGGGGACCUUCGGGCCUCUUUCCAUCGGCUGAGACCAGAUGGGAUUAGCUAGUAGGUGGGGUAAUGGCUCACCUAGGCGACGAUCCCUAGCUGGUCUGAGAGGAUGACCAGCCACACUGGAACUGAGACACGGUCCAGACUCCUACGGGAGGCAGCAGUAGGGAAUAUUGCACAAUGGGCGCAAGCCUGAUGCAGCCAUGCCGCGUGUGUGAAGAAGGCCUUCGGAUUGUAAAGUACUGUCAGCGGGGAGGAAGAAAGGAAUAUUGAUACCUGUACUCAUUGACGGUACCCGCAGAAGAAGCACCGGCUAACUCCGUG
rnacentral:rRNA from 1 species